rnacentral:rRNA from 1 species
GAGUGAACGCUGGCGGUAGGCCUAACCCCUGCAAGUCGAACGGCAGCACAGUAAGAGCUUGCUCUUACGGGUGGCGAGUGGCGGACGGGUGAGGAAUACAUCGGAAUCUACUUUUUCGUGGGGGAUAACGUAGGGAAACUUACGCUAAUACCGCAUACGACCUACGGGUGAAAGCAGGGGAUCUUCGGACCUUGCGCGAUUGAAUGAGCCGAUGUCGGAUUAGCUAGUUGGCGGGGUAAAGGCCCACCAAGGCGACGAUCCGUAGCUGGUCUGAGAGGAUGAUCAGCCACACUGGAACUGAGACACGGUCCAGACUCCUACGGGAGGCAGCAGUGGGGAAUAUUGGACAAUGGGCGCAAGCCUGAUCCAGCCAUACCGCGUGGGUGAAGAAGGCCUUCGGGUUGUAAAGCCCUUUUGUUGGGAAAGAAAAGCAGCAGGUUAAUACCCCGCUGUUCUGACGGUACCCAAAGAAUAAGCACCGGCUAACUUCGUG